CCUCGGGAGGCUGCAGUGAGGAAUAUUGCUCCAUGGCCGCAAGGCUGAAGCAGCCACGCCGCGUGAGGGAUGAAGGAUCUAUGGUCUGUAAACCUCUGUAGAGAAGGAAAAAUAACCCAUUAUAUGGGCUUGAUAGUACUUCUAGAGUAAGCCCCGGCUAACUACGUGCCAGCAGCCGCGGUAAUACGUAGGGGGCGAGCGUUGUCCGGAAUCACUGGGUGUAAAGGGUGCUCAGGCGGGUCGAUAAGUCAGAGGUGAAAUUUCACAGCUUAACUGUGAAUGUGCUUUUGAUACGGUCGGUCUAGAGUUCAGAAGAGGGCAAUGGAAUUCUUGGUGUAGCGGUGAAAUGCGUAGAUAUCAAGAAGAACACCAGUUGCGAAGGCGGUUGCCUGGUCUGUAACUGACGCUCAAGCACGAAAGCGUGGGGAUCAAACA
rnacentral:rRNA from 1 species